rnacentral:rRNA from 1 species
UACGUAGGGGGCAAGCGUUGUCCGGAAUUAUUGGGCGUAAAGCGCGCGCAGGCGGCUUACUAAGUCUGGUGUGAAAGCCCACGGCUCAACCGUGGAGGGCCAUUGGAAACUGGUAAGCUUGAGUGCAGGAGAGGAGAGCGGAAUUCCUGGUGUAGCGGUGAAAUGCGUAGAUAUCUGGAGGAACACCGGUGGCGAAGGCGGCAUCCUGGACCGGCAUUGACGCUGAGGCGCGAAAGCCAGGGGAGCAAACGGG